AUCAUGGUGGAUAGAAGAAACUUCUCAGGUCUUCAAGAUAUUUACAAAAUUUAAGAGGACGAAGUCUACAAAUUUAAUAAAAAACAGUUUAGUACUUAUUUUUUGAUGAAGUUCUCUGCAGAAAUAAUAAACACAACGACAUCACACUGCACAUAGUAAGUGCACAACAAAAGAACAUAACCUCAAUUUCCGCUAUCAAGUUUGGUACAAUUACUUUUCAAAGUUUACUGACGUGCCACUUGUGCCACUCAGAAACAAAACAUAGUUAUAGUAUUUUUCAAUAAACGGUUCAGUACAGAAUAAAAAAAAAAUUAAAAACAGAGCUAUUAUUAAAGUCGGGUGACGGCUCACGCUAAUUUAUCAUUUACAGGGCUCUAGCGACUUAGUGACUUAUUGGUAUUAGUAACUAUUUCUUCUACGUUACCUGUUUACCUGUCUGGAAAAUUUAACUCUUCAUCCGCGAAUAUUUAAAAUAUAAUAUUACAAUUCAGAUAUCCGUCCGUAGAAAGAAAAGUCUCGGAACAGAGAUCGCGGGAAUGGCAUGGGAGAAAAGUGACUUUAUCAAUCAAUUUGCGAAAUUCAAAGAAGAUGGGAAGAGGCUGAAAGAAACACAACUUGAAUAUGAACGAACCACGAAGCGACUAUCCCGUCACAUAAGCAAAGAACAGGAGGAAUGUAAAAAACUAAAAGUGAGAAAUGAAUACUUGCAGGCUCAAAUGAAUUUGAAAAAAUGCGAAAUAAAUCAGCUUCAUGAGAAAAUAGUUGAGCAUGAAAAUGAUGUAAAGGCACUUGAGGAAGAGAUAUAUGAUUACAAAAAGAAGCUCAUAAUUGCAGAACAUAUGGUGGAAACUGAAAAACUAGAACACAAGAAUGCUGCACUCCUUUUUUAACUUAGUGACGAGGAGAAAUAGAAACUGGACAUUCACUUCAUUCAAAAGAUAUAUAUUUCAAGCUUUGUACUUGUAAACUAUCUCCUUUCGUUUCGUACGUUCUUCUGCCUAAGUAGAUAAGUUGAAUUAAUAAAAAUAAUAAAGCCAAUAACUAGCUCUUAUAAGGUAGGAAAGAUUAUUCUACCUUGAAAACUUCUCGAUAUAUACAUUAAAGCUGGUUCCACAGCGCUCUCUGGCCCUGUAGGACACCUGGCCGCCACAAUUCCCUAUCAGGGUAUUGACACUCACUCAUUUCUUGCAAAUCCUCCAGUUGCCAUCCUUUUACUAGACAUCCUCUUUGUCUCCUCUCAGGCAGAACCCAAUAAAAUACGGAAAAAUAUGAAUUCACUGCUCUUUAACUUAUUGUUAGCAUGACAGUAUAUAUGUCAUAACUCAUAAGCAUUACAUUUAUUUACUCUUAAAAUUCAUUCACUUAACCUGUCUUCAGAUAAGGCAGAAGUUUUUUUGAAUAUGGUGAGAAACAAAGAAUAAAAAAGCAAAAUAAAAGGUGCAAAACAGGAAGACUAACUUCAUAUUUGACUGAAAGGCAUGGGAUAAGAAGAUAUUCAUAACACAGAAAAUAUAGUAUUUUCCUAAUUAAACUUACGCACUUCCUGUAGGCGCACUUUUCACGUAAAAGCUUUCUAUCUAGCUCUUUCUUAUUCACUAUUUCACUUGCCCUGUUUGUUCCAGCUUUUUUUCCCGAAUGUUAUGAUCACAAAAAUUCAGUUUUCUUAUUUGGUGUACUUUUACCAGAUGUUACAAUCACACAGAUUUACUUUUAUUCUUUGAUCUGUAUUCCCUUGAUUUAUAUAAUUGCAGAGAAUUAGUUUUCUUUUUGAUGUUAUGAUUAAAAUUCAGUUUGAAGGUAACUAAUGAUAAAGAAUAUUAUCAAAGCUCAUAAAAAGAGAAAUAUCUUUAAAAAAAGUGAUAAAAAGGUUUCAAUUUUAAGGCCUCGGUUCUUGUAUUGUGCACUCUUUUCAUAAAUGAGAUGAACUCACAAAGUUUCCUUGUAAAGUUGAGCCUCUCUAAUUCUUAAUUUUGAAAUUUGAUAAAACGUCCCUUUGUAUAAUUUCUGAGGAAACCUACAGGUCGAUUUUUACAUCAUUACUAGAUGACCACGAUCGAUAGGUAGCAUUGUUAUAAUGGAGAUAAAUAUCGCUUAAGGUUGUAGGAUGACCAUUCAACCAUUCGCUGCCGUAGUAAUGAAAAUACAUAAUAAGAACAACCUCAGUAAAUUUCUUCACUUUCCAACACUUUUAUUUCAAAUUAAAAGUGAGUAAAAUGAUAUCACUAUAGCAAACACACAUACAGAGAUAUAUGCAAUAACUUAAUUUAACACUGAAAAUUUUCCAAAUGAACUAUAUAUAUCACUGGAUCGCAAGAAUAAAAGAAAAUUAUAAAAGGAAACGUUGAGAAAACUUAACAGUUUUUGACAAUUGCACAAAUCCAAGAUGAGAAAACUAGUGUUCAAACAAAGCAAAUUUAACAAACAAAAUUUUACUUUACAAUAUACAUAUUUGGCUGAAGAUUUAAAGACAAUAAAAAGUUAAGUACCUACCAGCUUGUUGCUAAAGGAAAAAAAGAGAGAGAAAAAUUACAAACAUAUUCAGCAUUUAAUAAUACGGUCCCUGAGCAACUUCAAUCAUUUUACAUAGGAUCUACGGAGAAUUUGACUCUUUUUUUUCUUCUUUUUUUUUUCUUGAAAACUGCAUGUUAUUCAUUUUUUCUGAAUAAUUUGGAUAAAGUUUAAAAUUAAAGAGACACCAUGUGAUACAGGAAUUUGGCUGGAACUUAAGUGGGGGAAUAAGAGAGUUUUGUAAACUUGUUCAGAAAUUGUCUCAUCACAUCAAGAAUCCAUCAAACCAGAAACUUUUUAUUGGUCAAUGAAAGAUCAAGGGAAAUCGUAGCAUUAUUUUGCACAGCAAUGUUGAAAGCUGCAAAGCUUGAUCAGUUCCCUUCACAUGGAAAUACGUUUUUGGGGGAAAAUACAACCGAAGAACGAAGACUAGAAAAUUCUGGUGAAUCAACAAGAGUUACUGCAAUGAUUCAAUACACGUAAUGCUGAUUGUGAAUGGCAAUAAUUCUCAUUAAUGAUGAUAGUGAUGUGAAUCCAAACUUAGUUCUCACACGGAUAACUGAGAAGAAUAAUUCUAUCAUGCAUAAUGACAAAAAAAUUGAUGACUGAAAUAAAUUUACUGAUGACACUCAAGAGUUAUCAGUUUACUACUUCUUUGUUUUCUUUAUCGGGAACUAUGGUCACUUACUUUCUUUCUUUUUCGCCCGAUGAAUAUUUCGGUUGUCACUAUUUAAACGAUGGCCAUUUCGGCUUCAGCGGAAGCCAUCCUCAGGUAAUUAAUAAAAACUAGCAACAGGUUGUUAGUUUUUAUUAAUUACCUGAGGAUGGCUUCCGCUGAAGCCGAAAUGGCCCCCGUUUAAAUAGUGACAACCGAAAUAUUCAUCGGGCGAAAAAGAAAGAAAGUAAGUGAGUUAUCAGUUUCUUGACAGCUAGGUGUGACAGUAACCACAAAAAAAAAGAAAGAAAGAAAAAAAAUCAGGGUUGCUUUAAUGAGGUAAGGAUACUUUUGUCUACUCAGAAAAAAGGUUACGCCCCGAACAAGAUCUCUUUGUUCAAGAUGUAUUCUUUCUUGUUUCAAGCAAGAAACACUAAGUCUCAUUUUGUAGUGGCACUAAUGUAACAGUCAUGGACAGAUACAUCCUUCACAUCGUAUUAAAAUAAAAUUAUGACUAGCAAUUUAGCUAAAAUUAAAUAGGUACCUUGUAAGUAUAUAUACAUCGUAGAUAAUAGUUACUAAUUAACAGUUCAAUUGUACAGUAAAUUUAUGGUAUAGGAUUUACUUUUCUCCACCUUGGAGUAACUGUUCAUUUUACAAAGAAUACCUCAAUACAAAAAUAAUUGGACACUACCUAUCAAUAUAUUAUGGAACACAAGAAUUAAUUUAAAGUCAGUGUACAAAAAAGGAAAGAGCUCUUGGUUGGUGAGAGUAAAAGUUAAUGAUAACUCCCAUAAUUUUUUACACAGAUGAAGAUUACUCAUCAUUGAACUCCAUCCCUAUUCAAAAAUAUUGCCGUCUCAUACAUAGAAAAUGAAGCGGCAAAAAAAACAUAGAUAAACUUUGAUUGACUAAUUUUGACUCUUAACCCUUCUAACUAUUUCUCUAAUUAAUGAGAUGCACUGGAAACAGAAAGAGCUGCAUUAUGAAAAUCUGUUCAUCGUGGCGAAAUUAAUACUCAUUAACAUUCUUUUUCAAUGCCUCAUUUCGAUAAACUGCAGGACAAGAAAUUCUUUUGUAGCAGUUAUUACCCAUAAAUUUAAAGAUUAAUUAUCAAUCGAAUGAAAUGAGCAGCGUCGAGCAAAAGAAUCUUAACUACAUUCCAGCAUAAGCUUCAGCGACCAAACCUACAUUUUUUUGGGACUCAAGACGCGUACCAAAAAGUAGAUAACAUUCUUUUGGUCAAAAAUGCAAAUACAAAAAUAGUACAGUCAAGUUUCUCAUAUUCAGCACCUUUUCUAACCAAAAAAGAAAAAUACACGAUUACAAAAAAAAGAAAAUCCUUGUGAUACUUAAUUUCCCCUCAAAAAUAAGAAUUUGUAGACAGUAAAGGCUGGACGGUGUAAAAGUACGUAGUGCAUUUAUUUACCUUUUUAUAAUCGGAUAAAGUUUGAGAUGGCCAGAAAGGGUUCUUCGUGGUAUUAUCGAAUAUUUUGUGUACUUUUUAUUCAAUGGUUUCGAUACCAGCUUCUAUUUGAAAUUAUAUGAAUUACAAAUAUUAGUCUUAUGAAAAAUUACAUGACAGGAUCUCUCUUCUCAGGAAAAAUAUUCUCAGUUUUAAAAUUACACAACAAGGUUUCGGACUGAACCUUAAGGUGAGCUUGUGGCAUUGAAGGACUUGAAUAGAUACACAUGCAGACCCCUAACUGAGAGAAAAUGGACCGCGUUGAGCAGGAAGGAACCAAGCCACAUCGGUAAUACCAAAUUUAAUUGGGCCAUUAAUGUUUUGCAUGAAAACGGUUGUGCAGGUUUUUGUGCAAAUUUCAGUGAAUUUUCUGCACAGUAAGAAGCAUGGCCCUCGAAAUUUGCAAAGGAAUCCGCACUAACGUUCUGUUAUAAAAAUUAAAUUGUUCGGUUAAGUCUGGCAAUAGCUGCUGUGGCUUGGUUCCUUUCUGCUCAACGCGGUCUAAAUGAGAAUUAAAUGGAUGGAAAGCAUUUGGUACACUCAUUGUUCAAGUUGAGAGAAAUUUAGAGAGUAAGAAAAUUUUGUUCACAAAGACUAAAGCAACAUAAGAUAAUGAUAUUCUUUGGCAUUAAUACUUGCAAAGCUAAGUGACUCAAAGAUUCUACCCGCACUUGAAUCUAUAACCUAUCUCAGGGAGAGCAAUUCUUACAUACAAUAGCAAAAUUUAGUGGGACAUAAGGAUUUUACAUUCCUGAGAGUUAUAACAUAGGCCAGUUCUGCAGCAAGAGGCUCACACAAGAGUAUGCCCGAAUCUAGGGAAAUAUGGUAAUGAAUUGAUAUUAUAAAAGAUACACAGUUCAGGCAUUUAAAUCGUGGUCCUCACCAAAAAUGUUUUAGUUUGUUGGGUCUCUCAGGGCAGUUGCAAAAAAUAAACAAACAAGAAAGGGGAAUAAAAUGAUGAUAUGACUUCAUAAACUUGCCAAAAAAAGUGGAGAUUUAGAUUUUCGCCAAACUGCUAUUGGAUUUUGUUAAGGAUUUUAUACAUUCAUAAGGGAGGAAAACUAACUAGAGGAACUUUCCACUUACGGAAGCCUUUAAAAGGUAAAUAAUACUACUAGCAAUGAUAAUAGUUAAGUUAAAAUCAGACCUCCAACAACACACAAAGAUUGACACUCCGAAGUUUUAGUUCCAUAGAGACACAAAGAUUCCGGUAAGAGUAAUGAUGUGCAAAACAGGA
rnacentral:lncRNA from 1 species